rnacentral:rRNA from 1 species
GGACUGUAGGCUGCAACUCGCCUACACGAAGCUGGAAUCGCUAGUAAUCGCGGAUCAGCACGCCGCGGUGAAUACGUUCCCGGGCCUUGUACACACCGCCCGUCACACCAUGAGAGUCUGUAACACCCAAAGCCGGUGGGAUAACCUUUAUAGGAGUCAGCCGUCUAAGGUAGGACAGAUGAUUAGGGGUGAAGUCGUAACAAGGUAUC